rnacentral:rRNA from 1 species
CCCGGCGACAAGACGGUGGAGUAUGUGGUUUAAUUCGAUGCAACGCGAAGAACCUUACCUGGUCUUGACAUCCCGGAGACCCUUAGGAAACUAGGGGUGCUUCCAUCUGGAAGAAUCUGGAGACAGGUGCUGCAUGGCUGUCGUCAGCUCGUGUCGUGAGAUGUUGGGUUAAGUCCCGCAACGAGCGCAACCCUUGCCUUUAGUUGCCAGCAGUUCGGCUGGGCACUCUAAAGGGACUGCCGGUGUUAAACCGGAGGAAGGUGGGGAUGACGUCAAGUCCUCAUGGCCUUUAUGACCAGGGCUACACACGUACUACAAUGGCCGAUACAAAGGGCAGCGACACUGCGAGGUGAAGCCAAUCCCGUAAAAUCGGUCUCAGUCCGGAUUGGAGUCUGCAACUCGACUCCAUGAAGUUGGAAUCGCUAGUAAUCGUGGAUCAGCAUGCCACGGUGAAUACGUUCCCGGGCCUU